UGAUUGGUAUAGCAAUAUCCAUCAUUCUUGGUGUUGUUUGCAUUUCUAUUGCUGUUGGGUUAGACGUCGGUAAAGGUAUUCCUAACACUACCAAAGUGUCAAUGAAGGGCUUUGACAAAUGUGAGGCCAAAGAAGCGUAAAUUCAGUGGUCACCAACAUUUUGUAAAUUUUUAAAGAACAAAUGUCAGAAGCUAGGAAGUGGCCAAUGGUUCCGUGACAAUCAAAAAAAAAAUUCUUUGCUUGUGCUUCUCGAGUACAAAAGGAAAUAAAAAUAGAACAAAAAUAGAUUUUCAGGUCAUCGCCAAGUGUGAUGUAGGUAAAUUACGAAUUGUUUUGCAUAGAUGGUUUAGAAAAUACACUCUUAUAUGAUUUAUUAUGAUUAUUGUUAUUUUCAUUGUAUUAUUUUUGACGAUAA